CUUGCUCUUAUGAAGUUAGCGGCGGAAGGAGUGAGUAACACGUGGGUAACCUGCCCAUAAGACUGGGAUAACUCCGGGAAACCGGGGCUAAUACCGGAUAACAUUUUGAACCGCAGGGUUCGAAAUUGAAAGGCGGCUUCGGCUGUCACUUAUGGAUGGACCCGCGUCGCAGUAGCUAGUUGGUGAGGUAACGGCUCACCAAGGCAACGAUGCGUAGCCAACCUGAGAGGGUGAUCGGCCACACUUUUGACUGAGACACGGCCCAGACUCCUACGGGAGGCAGCAGUAGGGAAUCUUCCGCAAUGGACGAAAGUCUGACGGAGCAACGCCGCGUGAGUGAUGAAGGCUUUCGGGUCGUAAAACUCUGUUGUUAGGGAAGAACAAGUGCUAGUUGAAUAAGCUGGCACCUUGACGGUACCUAACCAGAAAGCCACGGCUAACUACGUGCCAGCAGCCGCGGUAAUACGUAGGUGGCAAGCGUUAUCCGGAAUUAUUGGGCGUAAAGCGCGCGCAGGUGGUUUCUUAAGUCUGAUGUGAAAGCCCACGGCUCACCGUGGAGGGUCAUUGGAAACUGGGAGACUUGAGUGCAGAAGAGGAAAGUGGAAUUCCAUGUGUAGCGGUGAAAUGCGUAGAGAUAUGGAGGAACACCAGUGGCGAAAGCGACUUUCUGGUCUGUAACUGACACUGAGGCGCGAAAGCGUGAGGAGCAAACAGGAUUAGAUACCCUGGUAGUCCACGCCGUAACGAUGAGUGCUAAGUGUUAGAGGGUUUCCGCCCUUUAGUGCUGAAGUUAACGCAUAGCACUCCGCCUGGGGAGUA
rnacentral:rRNA from 1 species